rnacentral:rRNA from 1 species
GUUAGGAAUCUUCCACAAUGGGGGCAACCCUGAUGGAGCAACACCGCGUGCUGGAUGAAGGCCUUCGGGUCGUACACAGCUUUUGUAUACGAAGAAUAUGACGGUAAUAUACGAAUAAGGGUCGGCUAACUACGUGCCAGCAGCCGCGGUCAUACGUAGGACCCAAGCGUUAUCCGGAGUGACUGGGCGUAAAGAGUUGCGUAGGCGGCUUAUUAAGCGAGUAGUGAAAUCUGGUGGCUCAACCAUCAACACAUUGCUCGAACUGAUAGGCUUGAGAAUGGUAGAGGUAGUUGGAAUUUCUUGUGUAGGAGUGAAAUCCGUAGAUAUAAGAAGGAACACCAAUGGCGUAGGCAGACUACUGUACCAUUUCUGACGCUGAGGCACGAAAGCGUGGGGAGCGAACCGGAUUAGAAACCCCGGUAGUC